rnacentral:tRNA from 1 species
GUGGCUCCAUGGUAGAGCAUCUACUUUGUAUGCAGAAGGUCCCAGGUUCAAUCCCCAUCAUCUCCA